GAAGGAUGACCCAGUGCACCAUGCUGCAAGGGGAGAACCCUAUGCUCAUCUGCUGCCUGACUUGCCUCUGCAUGUGCUUUGGAGCUGCCAGAAGCUGCAGUAUUUGAGUUUAGAAAAUUGACAGAGCUCUGAAGAAUUCUGUGAUUUUAAGCAGAAAGUAUACCCCAGUGCUGUCAAGAAUUUUCUUUGAAGAAAUCUGAUAUAUUUCUUCAUAUCUUGUCGCUGUUCAA